rnacentral:RNase_P_RNA from 1 species
UGAGGUGGUUGUGCAGUUGUAUCAAUUUAUAUUAUAUAAAUUGGUGAGGAAAGUCCGGACUCCAUAUAGACACGAUGCUGGAUAAUUACCAGCGGGGAAAACCGUGAGGUUUUUUUUAGGGAUUAGUGCAACAGAAAUUAUACCGCCCUUUUUGGGUAAGGGUGAAAUGGUGCGGUAAGAGCGCACCGGGCUUCUUGGUAACAAGAGUCGCGUAUGUAAACCCCAUCGGGAGCAAGACCAAAUAGGCGAGAUCGAACAUUUGUUCCUAGCUGUCUAUGGCUAGAUAUCGAGCGGGUAGGUUGCUUGAGGUAAAUGGUAACAUUUAUCCUAGAUAAAUAACUGCAAUAACUUAAUUGUUAUACAGAAUCCGGCUUAUAGACCAUCUCAUUUU